UUUGCUUCAGUAAGGAAAUAUUAUUUUACUUACCACUGUUGACCCAUGUGAUCGCUGCACCUGGUUCAUAAUUCUCUCUGUGAGCCCUGACAAUAAUAUCAUUGAGUCUCUCUCAAUUUAAUUCUACUUCCAGGAAUUCCAAAUCAAACUCCGCUUCUGAAUUCUGGGGUUCUUUUUUUUUUCAAAUUUAAAUUCCAAUUCAUUAAUUUAUUUUGGAAUCGAUUAAAAUCAAAUUGACCAUAGCCUUAUUUCACUGAAGCCAUAAUUUGCUAUAUAAUUAACCACACCUGUAGAAUUAGAAACUUGCAAGAAUUUAUUUUUAUUUGUUCAUUAAAGUCCUGAGCAUUCACAAUAGAUUGCUGGAUGUUAUUUUAAAUUAACAGGAAACUUUGUUUCCCAAGUAAAGCACUAGUUCUUUUGGCAGUGUCAUGCCAUAGACUCCAGAAUGGAAUCCUGACUAUGCCAACACUGACUAAAUGCAGAGAAUGCUAGAACACUGUGGUUAAAGUUUCCCACUGCAUUACCCGGUAAUGUCUAGGUGAUGGGAGGGGAAAGACACAUGGAAACAACAUCAAUGCAUUUUUUUAAUACUGAACAAAUGAAUAAAUCAGCCACUGAAGAAUGCUUCACAGAGCACUCCAAAUAAGCACUGGUGUUCAUGCAAAACAGGAGUUUGUACUUCAUGAACUCCAUCUGAACCCCACAUUUGUAAUGAUGUUGCAUUUCA